CAGAGUCCAGAAGAAGGGCUUGAGUCACAGCAAGUGCAUGUGACUGGGUAGGUUUUGGGCUGUUUUCUGUGAUGGAACCUACCUGAAAUUAAUCAGGUGAGUGACUCACUCACUUUGAGGCACUUCUUUAUUCAGACCUUAAAUGGGGACACUGAAAUAUAGCGAGGUACUUGAAAUGUCCCACCCUGAGGACAGCUCAUCCUAAGAAGAACUAAAAGUCAGAAGUCUCAUAGCAUUGGGACUGGCCCCUCAAGAGCACAUGGAGAGGAACCCCUCCACUCACAGAGGGAGAUACCUUGGGAUGAAGCCACACCUGUGGAUCUGGACCAGGACUCCAACCUCUGACUUGAAAUGUUGACAAUAGACCAACUUGAAGAUUUUGGCAAGCAUGGGCUGAAAAGGAUCCACUACCUCCACCCUAAACAUAAACAGUGGUUACCUUGGCAUUCGCAGAUAUUCCUGCUCGGUAUACCUAUGUAGACACUGAAAAGUGUGUGUCCCAGAUUCUAAGAAGCUAUGACUCUGGAGGUCUUCUAGAAGCCACAAGAUCACACGGUAAUUAUACAGCUACCAUAUCAUUA